rnacentral:rRNA from 1 species
UGGGGAAUCUUCCGCAAUGGGCGAAAGCCUGACGGAGCAACGCCGCGUGAGUGAUGACGGCCUUCGGGUUGUAAAACUCUGUGAUCCGGGACGAAAAGGCAGAGUGCGAAGAACAAACUGCAUUGACGGUACCGGAAAAGCAAGCCACGGCUAACUACGUGCCAGCAGCCGCGGUAAUACGUAGGUGGCAAGCGUUGUCCGGAAUUAUUGGGCGUAAAGCGCGCGCAGGCGGCUUCCCAAGUCCCUCUUAAAAGUGCGGGGCUUAACCCCGUGAUGGGAAGGAAACUGGGGAGCUGGAGUAUCGGAGAGGAAAGUGGAAUUCCUAGUGUAGCGGUGAAAUGCGUAGAGAUUAGGAAGAACACCGGUGGCGAAGGCGACUUUCUGGACGAAAACUGACGCUGAGGCGCGAAAGCGUGGGGAGCAAACA